rnacentral:rRNA from 1 species
AUUGAACGCUGGCGGCAGGCCUAACACAUGCAAGUCGAACGAGUGGCGGACGGGUGAGUAAUGUCUGGGAAACUGCCUGAUGGAGGGGGAUAAAUACUGGAAACGGUAGCUAAUACCGCAUACCAUCGGAUGUGCCCAGAUGGGAUGAGCUAGUAGGUGGGGUAACGGCUCACCUAGGCGACGAUCCCUAGCUGGUCUGAGAGGAUGACCAGCCACACUGGAACUGAGACACGGUCCAGACUCCUACGGGAGGCAGCAGUGGGGAAUAGUGCACAAUGGGCGCAAGCCUGAUGCAGCCAUGCCGCAUGUGUGAAGAAGGUCUUCGGGUUGUAAAGCACUUUCAGCGGGGAGGCGUUACCCGCAGAAGAAGCACCGGCUAACGCCGUGCCAGCAGCCGCGGUAAUUC